rnacentral:rRNA from 1 species
GUGGGGAAUAUUGGACAAUGGGGGAAACCCUGAUCCAGCCAUGCCGCGUGAAUGAUGAAGGCCUUCGGGUUGUAAAGUUCUUUUGGCGGGGACGAUGAUGACGGUACCCGCAGAAUAAGCUCCGGCUAACUUCGUGCCAGCAGCCGCGGUAAUACGAAGGGAGCUAGCGUUGUUCGGAAUUACUGGGCGUAAAGGGCGCGUAGGCGGUCAAGCAAGUCAGAUGUGAAAGCCCUGGGCUCAACCCGGGAACUGCGUUUGAUACUGUUUGGCUUGAAUUCGGUAGAGGUGAGUGGAAUUCCCAGUGUAGAGGUGAAAUUCGUAGAGAUUGGGAAGAACACCAGUGGCGAAGGCGGCUCACUGGACCGACAUUGACGCUGAGGCGCGAAAGCGUGGGGAGCAAACAGGAUUAGAAACCCUGGUAGUCC